CAGCCAGAUCACGUUGAAGCAACUGUUCUCGUACGAUCACUGAAUUUAAGCAAAAUGGAGUCUGCUCAGUACCUUGAUGGAUGACCGCUUGGGAAUCCUAUGUAUUGUA